rnacentral:rRNA from 1 species
UUUGACCUCGGAUCAGGUAGGAAUACCCGCUGAACUUAAGCAUAUCAAUAAGCGGAGGAAAAGAAACCAACAGGGAUUGCCCUAGUAACGGCGAGUGAAGCGGCAACAGCUCAAAUUUGAAAUCUGGCCUCGGCCCGAGUUGUAAUUUGCAGAGGAUGCUUCUGGCGCGGUGCCUUCCGAGUUCCCUGGAACGGGACGCCACAGAGGGUGAGAGCCCCGUAUGGUCGGACACCAAGCCUGUGUGAAGCUCCUUCGACGAGUCGAGUAGUUUGGGAAUGCUGCUCUAAAUGGGAGGU